rnacentral:rRNA from 5 species
UGUCGUCAGCUCGUGUUGUGAAAUGUUGGGUUAAGUCCCGCAACGAGCGCAACCCUUAUCCUUUGUUGCCAGCGGUCCGGCCGGGAACUCAAAGGAGACUGCCAGUGAUAAACUGGAGGAAGGUGGGGAUGACGUCAAGUCAUCAUGGCCCUUACGACCAGGGCUACACACGUGCUACAAUGGCGCAUACAAAGAGAAGCGACCUCGCGAGAGCAAGCGGACCUCAUAAAGUGCGUCGUAGUCCGGAUUGGAGUCUGCAACUCGACUCCAUGAAGUCGGAAUCGCUAGUAAUCGUGGAUCAGAAUGCCACGGUGAAUACGUUCCCGGGCCUUGUACACACC